GCUGCCCAUCCACAGCCUUGGGCACCUCCAGGGAUGGCACCCACAGCUCCGGGCAGCAGUGCCAGUUCAACACAAGCAGUGUCAGUGCUUUGUAAAGCAUUUUGCACAUUCCAGAACUCUCCCAGCUUCCCAAUCGCAACUUAUGCGCAGCCUGACAGCUUUCACUUUUAAGAUCUGAUGUUCUACUAACAUUUGUUCGUCUUUUUUUUUUUUUUUUUGCCUCACUUCAGCAGUUUCAAACACAUCUUGUCACAGAACAAAUAUUUUCUCUGUUCUAGUUCCCUAGUAAUUCGACAGAUCUCCGUGGAAUUUCAUCCUGAAGUUUGAGUCUUUCUGAUUGAUGUGAAAGAUGGAGGGCGCCAGAAGUGACAGCUUCAUUUUCCCGGGGGAAUCCCGCCAGAUCUCGCGAGACAAGGCCGGCGUGGCGUGGGCGUUGCCAAGGCAACGACGGCCGCACCCACGCCAUUAUAAAAAGCCUCAGGGCUGCGGUGGGGGGAGGAGGAGUCGGUGCGUGCGUGUCGCGCGGGUUGUUUAAACGUGGGGAAACCAUAAGCCAUCCGUUCACGUGUCAACGUAGCGAGGCGGCAGCGGGCUUGGCUGGGUCUGUUUUACACAAGUGGGGGUGGGGGAGGCGUUCUGGAGCUACCGCGGGCUAUUUAAGCGCGGAGAAACCGUUAGCCGUGCGGUCACGUGAUGCGCGGUGCCCGGGGCUACCGCGCGUUAUUUAAACGUGGAGAAACCGUUAGCCGUGUGGUCACGUGACCGCGCAGUGAGCAGCUGCAGCUCAGUCGCUGUUGCAGUGGUAGUGUGGGAGCCCUUGUAGGUGGGCUGGUAACGUGGUGGGGCAGAGCCCUCACUGCUGGGUCACAGGGCGGAGUGGAUCAGCUGUAUGCCAUCGGGGCCACCCUAAGUAGUGGGAGUGAGCUGCUGGUUUGUCAUGGAUGCAUGCUGGUGGAAGGCUAUUACCAGGAAAAACGUGGAGUCCCUAGCUGAGUUCUACACAGACAUGCAGUGCACGCAUCUCUGGCUGCAGUGCUGGGUGGUGGAGAUGAUGCUUGUGUUAGAUGUGAUCAGCUGGAUGGUUUACUCUUCCUUAUGGUUGAUUUGAAGGAGGAAGUGGAGAGGCUGAAGAGCAUCAGGGAGCGGGUAAUAGAUUAGUGGUGCCCAUCCCUACCAGCACUGGGUUUUAGGCAGUUACUCUAGGAGCAGUUUUAGGCUCCACAAGGAGUAUGUCACACCCACCGCUUUGCAAACAAGUAAUAGGAGGGGACCGGCAGGCAGAGUUCCUGCUGCAGUCCACUGUCCCUGUCCGCUCCUCCCCCUAACAACAAUGAUGAUGAAUUGAGGGGCAGGAGGCAGUGGCAAAAGGUCCCUGCUCAGUGAUGCGGAUGUGCCUGCCCAGCAAUUCCCCGUACUGCCUGCAGAACAGUGCUCUGCAAGGACAACCGGACAGCAGUGAGGAUGAUGGUUUUUCCCACUUGGAGGUGCUGUCCAAGAUGAAUGUUAAUGUCCGAGAAGAACACAGACUGCAUGUGAAGGCAGGGAACCUGCUCUUUUAUCGUCAUCAACCUCUGAUAUCACCUGGAGCAAGACAACCAAUGAUAGCAGUGACCUGACUCUGGAGUGGCAAGAAAGCUGCCUUCUCCAGCAUGAGAUUAUUCACUCGACGAUGUCACGACUCCCAAGUCUGAUGUCAUGGCUGUUUCCACAGCAACCAAAUUGAAUCAAGGACAGUUUUGAAACCAGAUAAACUUGACUUGUGUUAUUGUGUCCAUCAUUUGGGUACACUGGAGGAAUCACUCCAGUUCUGUUCAACACCUGGGGCUGCACGUGGACUUCUAAUU